CCGUGGUGGUGGAGGAGGAGGAUGAGGUAGCCAACACUGUGUGUGUGUAUAUAUAUAUAUAUAUAUAUAUAUAUAUAUAUAUAUAUAUAUUAAUUGGGGUAGCCCCCAAAAUAUUGGGACAUAUAAAAAAAUACAACUCUGUUCCGCAGAAUAGCUGUUGACAUUAUAGUUGCGCAGGAACGUUGACUCUAGAGAACCUCGGUCAAAUCGCACAAUCCGUGGCGGCGACUUUGCAUUCGGAUGUCAUCCAUAUCAACUUUCGAUGUCAGUUUCUGUGCCUACCGUGGUGACCACGGGUAACGGGAAUCAGGUUUCCAUUCCGUACAAGAACCCUGAGAAACGGCUACCACAUGCAAGGAAGGCAGCAGG
rnacentral:rRNA from 1 species